rnacentral:rRNA from 1 species
UCUACGGGGGGCUGCAGUCGAGGAUAUUUAGCAAUGCCCGAAAGGGUGACUAUGCGACGCCGCGUGUGUGAUGAAGGUCUUCGGAUUGUAAAGCACUGUCGAUCGGGAGGAAUCUCGUGUGGGCGAAUACCCCAUACGUGUGACGUUACCGGUGGAGGAAGCCACGGCUAACUCCGUGCCAGCAGCCGCGGUGAAUACGGGGGUGGCAGGCGUUACUCGGAUUUAUUGGGUGUAAAGGGUUUGUAGGUGGCUUACUAAGUCGAGNGUGAAAUCCCUUGGCUCAACCAAGGAACUGCGCUCGAAAGUGGUUUGCUUGAGCGACGGAGAGGAGAAUGGAAUUCCCGGUGUAACAGUGAAAUGUGUAGAUAUCGGGAGGAACACCAGUAGCGAAGGCGAUUCUCUGGACGUUUGCUGACACUGAAAAACGAAAGCUAGGGGAGCAAACAGGAUUAGAUACCCUGGUANUC